GUUUGGACCCUCCAGAAAGGGGCCAGGAGGCAGGGGCUUCCCUGGGACUGCCCUCCAUGCCUCCCCCGCUGACCACCCUGCAAGCCAAGAGCCGUCCACACCAGCAUCGCAAGGCCCCACAAAGCGGGGCGCAUAGACAGCGUGGCUGGUGGAGCCGAGCCCACAGGGACACACGGGGAGCCGUCUUUCUCCAGUGGCAGGUGACACGGCUAGGACGCAGCUCACGAAGCCACGCGUCCACCCCGCGGCACCCUGGGCAGAUCAGGGCCUCUCCUGAAAUCAGAAAGUGCGCUGCGGCCUGACCGACUUCAGUCCCCCAGGUCAAAGCCUUUCCUCCCCGCCCGACAGAACCUGGGCUGGCGCCUCCGGUGGAGAAGGGGGUGGGCUCCUCGCCCCUCUCCUUCUUUCCUUGCUGCUUCUCUUGAUUGGCUCCCCCGAGGGGAUGAAGGAGGAGGGCGGGCUCCCCCUCCUGCCACCCACAACCGUGGCUGCCCCCAUGAUGUUGUCUCCAGCAGGGCCCCUCCCCAGCAGCGUACCCACGGCUUCCUGCUGCUGCUUCCCCGAGCCACCCCUAUUGGACCCCAGAAGGGGCUCCCCAGCUGCCUGGAUCAGAAGCAGGGAGCCCUGUCCAAGGCCGGGCCGGGCUGUGCAGGGCGGGCGCCUCCCACCCGUGCGCGACGGCCAAGGGCCUCUCGGGGGGAGCGGACUCUUCCCCACAGGCUUCUGGGCCGUGUUCUUGAAACACUGGCCGGCUGUCCUCUCCAGGGGCCUUAUUCUAAGGCUGAUGCUGAGGCGCCCGGGGGGCUCAGUCGGUUGAGCGUCCGACUUCGGCUCACGUCAUGAUCUCGCAGUUUAUGAGUUCGA